rnacentral:snoRNA from 10 species
UGGACCUAUGAUGAUGACUGGUGGCGUAUGAGUCAUUGACGGUGAAUACAGGUCUGGAAGUCUGAGGUCCAA